rnacentral:rRNA from 1 species
UACGGAGGGAGCUAGCGUUGUUCGGAUAUACUGGGCGUAAAGCGCGCGUAGGCGGCCCUGUAAGUCCGCUGUGAAAGUCAAAGGCUCAACCUUUGAAUGCCGGUGGAUACUGCAGGGCUAGAGUCCGGAAGAGGCAAGUGGAAUUCCUGGUGUAGCGGUGAAAUGCGCAGAUAUCAGGAGGAACACCAAUGGCGAAGGCAGCACUCUGGGACGGUACUGACGCUGAGACGCGAAAGCGUGGGGAGCAAACAGG